rnacentral:rRNA from 1 species
CUUGCUUCUCUUGAGAGCGGCGGACGGGUGAGUAAUGCCUAGGAAUCUGCCUGGUAGUGGGGGAUAACGUCCGGAAACGGACGCUAAUACCGCAUACGUCCUACGGGAGAAAGCAGGGGACCUUCGGGCCUUGCGCUAUCAGAUGAGCCUAGGUCGGAUUAGCUAGUUGGUGGGGUAAUGGCUCACCAAGGCGACGAUCCGUAACUGGUCUGAGAGGAUGAUCAGUCACACUGGAACUGAGACACGGUCCAGACUCCUACGGGAGGCAGUAGUGGGGAAUAUUGGACAAUGGGCGAAAGCCUGAUCCAGCCAUGCCGCGUGUGUGAAGAAGGUCUUCGGAUUGUAAAGCACUUUAAGUUGGGAGGAAGGGCAGUAAAUUAAUACUUUGCUGUUUUGACGUUACCGACAGAAUAAGCACCGGCUAACUCUGUGCCAGCAGCCGCGGUAAUACAGAGGGUGCAAGCGUUAAUCGGAAUUACUGGGCGUAAAGCGCGCGUAGUGGGUUCGUUAAGUUGGAUGUGAAAUCCCCGGGCUCAACCUGGGAACUGCAUUCAAAACUGACGAGCUAGAGUAUGGUAGAGGGUGGUGGAAUUUCCCUGUGU